CGAAUUUCUAAAAUUUGGUCAUUCCACAUAAGAUUUUUUGACUGCAAAAAUUGGUUGGCAACCAAUAAUACUUCCAAGAGUAAGAUUAAUUGCAUAGUGGCAUAUUGAAAAUCUGUGAAUUCUUAACCUCCGUGCAUCGUUAUUUCAGUCUAAACAUAGACAGUAAGACGGUCGGAUAUUAUUUUGCAAGGUGCUACAAAAUUUAACGGUUUUCGGGUGACUUUGUCCCAGUUUGUUGAUUGUUGGAUUUUGGUCAUUGGUUGCUUCUAUAUUAAAUUAAAAUACUUCGUCUAAUUCUUCAUUUAGUGAGAGCUAUAGGGAUAAUGAAGAUCUACAUAAGCUGACUACUUUGACAGCUUUCCAGUAAAAUUCGAUGGAUUUGUAAGAGGUAGUAAUAACUGUUACGGUUGGGUGCAAGUAAUGGUACUGGGUGAAAGAAGUUUAUGGCAAUGGCCCGAAGUCUCCGUAAGAAAAUCCUACCACUUGGCUAAUGUUGAUUUCACUGAGCCAUUGGAACUUGUAGAUAACCGAUAUUUCUUUCCAGAUUUAAAAAAAAGCUUGUAAAUCGUUUUAUUGUUCAUUUUUUGUUAAGAAAUGAUGUUUUUUGUUAACCUAGGGUCCUAUGUAAAGUUUCAUGUUAGUUUUAGUUUUUCUUUGUUUGAAAUUUAAAUAAAUUUUUUUCACCUAACAAAAUGUUUGUUUCUGAUUCAUCUGGUAGGGUCACUUUAGCCCGAACAAUAAUAAUCACAGAGAAUAAAUAUAAAAUGUAGCUUGAGACAAAGUCACCCGACACUAGCGGGUGACUUUGCACACCAUAUUUUUAUUUUUUUUAUAAUACAGGAAGCGCUUUUUUGUGUUUUCGUGUAAUUUUUCCAAAAGAGUAGUUAUAGACUCAAAUACACAUAAAUAAAGAAACAUACUUUUAUGUAUUCAAAAAACUGAAAUCUACAUUUAAACUUCGAAAGUGAGUCAAAGUCACCCGAAAUUACGGUA
rnacentral:lncRNA from 1 species